UACCAACCGCCCCUUCUCCUUUGUUUAAAACCUAACCCUAACCCAUAUGAAAGAGAGUCUGGAGAGAGGGGGGGAGAAGAGACGGGAGACAGAGACGGAGAAGUCUCUGGCUUCGACACGCUGGACGCGCCGCACAUAGCUCUCCGGCGUCGACAUGACAGAUGGGUCCGCCGUACAUGGUGGUGGGUUAUGUUGGUUCUCCGGCGUCGGCAACGGUGAAGAGGCAUCCACCGGGCGGAGGCAAUCCGACGUUAUCAACAGGUUAUAUAUUCUUAAUAUCUAUUUCACACUUCCGGUUUGUUAUGAACCCUGAUGCAUACUGUAGUUUUGGUUAUUAACCCUAACAAAGUAACAAAGAAAACCCCUCUUCUUUAGCUUCAAAAUCUUGACUCUUUUAUAUUGAUUAAGCAAGAACAGAACAUGGGCAUAUUAAAUGAGGAUGUUGUGGUGAUAAAAGAAGCAGGAGACAACACUCUGAUCACUGUAAAUUGUCCAGGUAAAACAUGCCUCGGUUGUGAUUUGUGCUGAAUUAUUCUCCUCUUUCGUCUCCGUAUUGCUAGAGGAGGCAUAGACUUAGAAUCAAAGAGGCGAGUAUUCAAAGAAGAGCCAAUCCCACUUACAACAACCACGACGUCGGGGUUGGAUACUGGUUAACACUGGCUUACAAAGUAUAAUAAAACAACACACAAAUAAAAUUUCGGGUUCGUCACGGUCCCGAUUUCUACAACUGCACUUUAAAUAUGGACCUUACUGAAGAUGGGACUAAGAUUGGCACUCUUCAGUUACUUGAAGAUGAUAAGGGUCUGGCGACGGGCCAGUUUGCAGCAAUUUACGAACAAUAGGUUUGUAUGGGCCAUGUGUGAUCUUGGAAUCAUGGGACGAUAAUGGGUUUCCUAUAUGUGAAAAGGCCUGCGGAAUUGCAAACUCGGAAGAUAAAUCUAAGAUGGGUAAACCCGUCAAGAUUAAGCCAAAACCUGAUGAUUGUUUGAGGAAUUCAGUUAUAAUGAUAUGAGAUUAGUUUAGAAUUAUAUUUUGGUGUAUAUGUGUAAGCGGUAUGCAUUUUUUGGUAUGUUGGAAUAA